rnacentral:rRNA from 1 species
GACGAACGCUGGCGGCGUGCUUAACACAUGCAAGUCGAACGGAAAGGCCCUUCGGGGUCCUCGAGUGGCGAACGGGUGAGUAACACGUGGGUGAUCUGCCCUGCACUUUGGGAUAAGCCUGGGAAACUGGGUCUAAUACCGAAUAGGACCACGCGCUUCAUGGUGUGUGGUGGAAAGCUUUUGCGGUGUUGGAUGGGCCCGCGGCCUAUCAGCUUGUUGGUGGGGUAAUGGCCUACCAAGGCGACGACGGGUAGCCGGCCUGAGAGGGUGACCGGCCACACUGGGACUGAGAGACGGCCCAGACUCCUACGGGAGGCAGCAGUGGGGAAUAUUGCACAAUGGGCGCAAGCCUGAUGCAGCGACGCCGCGUGAGGGAUGACGGCCUUCGGGUUGUAAACCUCUUUCAAUAGGGACGAAGCGCAAGUGACGGUACCUAUAGAAGAAGCACCGGCCAACUACGUG